rnacentral:rRNA from 1 species
UUAGAGUUUGAUCCUGGCUCAGAACGAACGCUGGCGGCGUGGAUAAGACAUGCAAGUCGAACGAGAGAAUUGCUAGCUUGCUAAUAAUUCUCUAGUGGCGCACGGGUGAGUAACACGUGAGUAACCUGCCCCCGAGAGCGGGAUAGCCCUGGGAAACUGGGAUUAAUACCGCAUAGUAUCGAAAGAUUAAAGCAGCAAUGCGCUUGGGGAUGGGCUCGCGGCCUAUUAGUUAGUUGGUGAGGUAACGGCUCACCAAGGCGAUGACGGGUAGCCGGUCUGAGAGGAUGUCCGGCCACACUGGAACUGAGACACGGUCCAGACACCUACGGGUGGCAGCAGUCGAGAAUCAUUCACAAUGGGGGAAACCCUGAUGGUGUGACGCCGCGUGGGGGAAUGAAGGUCUUCGGAUUGUAAACCCCUGUCAUGUGGGAGCAAAUUAAAAAGAUAGUACCACAAGAGGAAGAGACGGCUAACUCUGUGCCAGCAGCCGCGGUAAUACAGAGGUCUCAAGCGUUGUUCGGAAUCACUGGGCGUAAAGCGUGCGUAGGCUGUUUCGUAAGUCGUGUGUGAAAGGCGCGGGCUCAACCCGCGGACGGCACAUGAUACUGCGAGACUAGAGUAAUGGAGGGGGAACCGGAAUUCUCGGUGUAGCAGUGAAAUGCGUAGAUAUCGAGAGGAACACUCGUGGCGAAGGCGGGUUCCUGGACAUUAACUGACGCUGAGGCACGAAGGCCAGGGGAGCGAAAGGGAUUAGAUACCCCUGUAGUCCUGGCAGUAAACGGUGCACGCUUGGUGUGCGGGGAAUCGACCCCCUGCGUGCCGGAGCUAACGCGUUAAGCGUGCCGCCUGGGGAGUACGGUCGCAAGAUUAAAACUCAAAGAAAUUGACGGGGACCCGCACAAGCGGUGGAGUAUGUGGCUUAAUUCGAUGCAACGCGAAGAACCUUACCUGGGCUUGACAUGUAAUGAACAACAUGUGAAAGCAUGCGACUCUUCGGAGGCGUUACACAGGUGCUGCAUGGCCGUCGUCAGCUCGUGUCGUGAGAUGUUUGGUUAAGUCCAGCAACGAGCGCAACCCCUGUUGCCAGUUACCAGCACGUGAAGGUGGGGACUCUGGCGAGACUGCCCAGAUCAACUGGGAGGAAGGUGGGGACGACGUCAGGUCAGUAUGGCCCUUAUGCCCAGGGCUGCACACGUACUACAAUGCCCAGUACAGAGGGGGCCGAAGCCGCGAGGCGGAGGAAAUCCUGAAAACUGGGCCCAGUUCGGACUGUAGGCUGCAACCCGCCUACACGAAGCCGGAAUCGCUAGUAAUGGCGCAUCGGCUACGGCGCCGUGAAUACGUUCCCGGGUCUUGCACACACCGCCC